ACCACCAAUCACCAGCACUCCAGCAGUUCAUCACUGCACCACGUCUCAAGUUCUCGAGCAGGAAAAAAAUUGAACAACAGCACCAACAUACAACUGAAAAUUCAUUAACAACAACAAGAAAAGGAAAACGUUAAACUGCAACGAGUUUCCCAAUCAAAAAAGUUUUCUCCAGAAGAUGAGGAACAUGAUGGUGUUACCAACUACUCUCCGGUGCUCAAUUCUCCCAAUUUCUCGCUUCCAUUCAACCAUCAUUUCCUCCAACUUCCUCCUUCUUCCUUUUCCCAACUCCGCCGUUUUCAAGUCCUCCUCCGCCUCUUAUUUUCUCUCUCCUCGCCGCACGUUCGUCUCCGCUCCCAUGGCUGCCGCCUCUCAACCACGCUUCUCUCAGACAGUAGUGGCUGGAAAUGCUGUUGAUGAGGUUGAAAUCUUUCAACGUAUUCAAUCUCACCAGGAAAAGGCAGCUAGGCUUCCACCUGUGGAAGAAAUUCGAACGGCUCUUGCUAAUACUACUCGCGGAAUGCUUUCUACCUUCUCUAAGAAAUAUGACGGUUAUCCGUCAGGAUCGAUGGUAGACUUUGCUUGUGAUGCAGAUGGAUCUCCGAUCUUGGCAGUCAGCAGCUUGGCUGUUCAUACACAGGACCUAUUGGCCAAUCCACAGUGCUCACUACUCGUGGCAAAAGAUCCAGAAGACAGGACUGAUUUAGUAAUUACUCUGCAUGGUGAUGCAGUUGCUGUUGCUGAAGAAGAUAGAGAAGCUGUUCGUAUUGCUUAUUUGGCUAAACAUCCUAGUGCCUUUUGGGUCGACUUUGGCGACUUCCGAUUUUUGAAGAUCCAGCCAAAAGUAGUUCGGUAUGUUUCUGGAGUUGCAACAGCCUUAUUGGGCUCAGGAGAAUUCGGCAGAGAGGAGUACAGUGCAGCAAAAGCAGAUCCAAUAUCUGAGUUCUCUAAGCCUAUAGCGUCCCAUAUGAACAAGGAUCAUGAAGAAGACACAAAGCUAAUUGUGCAGUAUUCAACUACCAUACCGGUGGAAUCUGCUUACAUUCUGGAUGUAGACCAACUCGGUUUCAACGUCAAGGUAAGCUGUAUGGGGAAAAGCUACAAGCUUCGAGUUCCAUUUCCUAGACCAGCAGUUGAUAGAAAGGGUGUGAAGACACUCAUAGUUGAAAUGCUUCAAGCGGCAAAGUCGAUGGGCAAUUAAACUUGCGUUUCUGCAGAGAAAAUGUAUGUGGUAAAAAAGUACAGUAUUGAAAUGAGAUCUGUCACUAAUUUUGUUUUUCACAAGAUCUACUCCGUACAGCCAAAAUCCUUAUUCAUCCUUCGCAGGUAUCAUUGCUUGUGUGAUUAUAUUUACUUAUGCCAGUGUUGUUUUCGGCUAAACACCAACUGAUUUUCGCUUCAGUUCUUUCAGUGCGGGCCUCUGGUAUACGGAAUAGAGAAACCUUUGUGUCAAAGUGGAGACAAUCAAUACGAAUUAUAAGGAAGCAGGGGAUGAUACGGAAAAGAAACAACAGAUUAUGUGUCCACCCCCAAGGCCCCAAGUACCCUGUAAAUUAUGUGUCCAAACUAUACCAUAGGGAAAAUGUUAUACGGAGUACUUCGUAUUUUUUAUUCUUAUUUAUAUACUCCAGGUUUCACUAAUUGUCAAAAUAGUCGGGUGUUUUACGGA